UACAGAGGUCCCAAGCGUUGUUCGGAUUCACUGGGCGUAAAGGGUGCGUAGGUGGUGAGGUAAGUCGGAUGUGAAAUCUCCGAGCUCAACUCGGAAAUGGCAUUGGAAACUACCUUGCUCGAGGGUUGGAGGGGGGACUGGAAUGCUUGGUGUAGCAGUGAAAUGCGUAGAUAUCAAGCGGAACACCAGUGGCGAAGGCGAGUCCCUGGACAACUCCUGACACUGAGGCACAAAAGCUAGGGGAGCAAACAGG
rnacentral:rRNA from 1 species